AUUGAACGCUGGCGGCAGGCCUAACACAUGCAAGUCGAACGAGUGGCGGACGGGUGAGUAAUGUCUGGGAAACUGCCUGAUGGAGGGGGCUAACUACUGGAAACGGUAGCUAAUACCGCAUACCAUCGGAUGUGCCCAGAUGGGAUUAGCUAGUAGGUGGGGUAAAGGCUCACCUAGGCGACGAUCCCUAGCUGGGCUGAGAGGAUGACCAGCCACACUGGAACUGAGACACGGUCCAGACUCCUACGGGAGGCAGCAGUGGGGAAUAUUGCACAAUGGGCGCAAGCCUGAUGCAGCAAUGCCGCGGGUAUGAAGAAGGCCUUCGGGUUGUAAAGCACUUUCAGCGGGGAGGCGUUACCCGCAGAAGAAGCACCGGCUAACUCCGUGCCAGCAGCCGCGGUAAUAC
rnacentral:rRNA from 1 species